rnacentral:misc_RNA from 1 species
UCCGUUUCCUUGUUCCACCUGCAGCAAUAUUGACUAUUAUACAUAUAUGGUCUACAAACUUUUUGUUUUUAACCGACUUCCAAAAAAGGAGGAGGUUCUCAAUUCGACUGUAUUUUUUUUUUUAUGUAUGUUACAUCAGAACUUUUGACCGGGUGGACCGAUUUCGACAAAUUUUGUUUUAAUCAAAAGGUGGUGUGUGCCGAUUGGUCCCAUUUAAAUUUA